rnacentral:rRNA from 1 species
GGGGGGGCGGUAUCGGAUUACUGGGCGUAAGCGCGCGUAGGUGGCUUGAUAAGCCGGUUGUGAAAGCCCCGGGCCCUUCAUGGGAACGGCAUCCGGAACUGUCAAGCUAGAGUGCAGGCGUGGAAGGUAGAAUUCCCGGUGUAGCGGUGAAAUGCGUAGAGAUCGGGAGGAAUACCAGUGGCGAAGGCGGCCUUCUGGACUGACACUGACACUGAGGUGCGAAAGCGUGGGUAGCAAACAGGAUUAGAUACCCUGGUAGUCCACGCCGUAAACGAUGUCGACCAGCCGUUGGGUGCCUAGCGCACUUUGUGGCGAAGUUAACGCGAUAAGUCGACCGCCUGGGGAGUACGGCCGCAAGGUUAAAACUCAAAUGAAUUGACGGGGGCCCGCACAAGCGGUGGAGCAUGUGGUUUAAUUCGAUGCAACGCGAAGAACCUUACCUACUCUUGACAUCCUGCGAAUUUGGUAGAGAUACCUUAGUGCCUUCGGGAACGCAGAGACAGGUGCUGCAUGGCUGUCGUCAGCUCGUGUUGUGAAAUGUUGGGUUAAGUCCCGUAACGAGCGCAACCCUUGUCCUUAUUUGCCAGCGCGUAAUGGCGGGAACUCUAAGGAGACUGCCGGUGACAAACCGGAGGAAGGUGGGGACGACGUCAAGUCAUCAUGGCCCUUACGAGUAGGGCUACACACGUGCUACAAUGGUCGGUACAAAGGGUUGCCAACUCGCGAGAGUGAGCCAAUCCCGAAAAGCCGAUCUCAGUCCGGAUCGGAGUCUGCAACUCGACUCCGUGAAGUCGGAAUCGCUAGUAAUCGUAGAUCAGAAUGCUACGGUGAAUACGUUCCCGGGCCUUGUACACACCGCCCGUCACACCAUGGGAGUGGACUGCACCAGAAGUGGUUAGCCUAACGCAAGAGGGCGAUCACCACGGUGUGGUUCAUGACUGGGGUGAAUCUACAGGGGAAACCCUCCAUAUAAAAUCCACGGGAGGUUGGCGGGUGU